rnacentral:rRNA from 1 species
GGCGGACGGGUGAGUAAUGUAUAGUUAAUCUGCCCUUUAGAGGGGGAUAACAGUUGGAAACGACUGCUAAUACCCCAUACUCCUUUUAUCUUAAUGAUAAUUGGGAAACGUUUUUUCGCUAAAGGAUGAGACUAUAUGGUAUCAGGUAGUUGGUGGGGUAAGAGCCCACCAAGCCAAUGACGCCUAGCUGGUCUGAGAGGAUGAUCAGCCACACUGGAACUGAGACACGGUCCAGACUCCUACGGGAGGCAGCAGUGGGGAAUAUUGCACAAUGGAGGAAACUCUGAUGCAGCAACGCCGCGUGGAGGAUGACGCAUUUCGGUGUGUAAACUCCUUUUAUAUGGGAAGAUAAUGACGGUACCAUAUGAAUAAGCACCAGCUAACU